rnacentral:rRNA from 1 species
GAUGAACGCUGGCGGCGUGCCUAAUACAUGCAAGUCGAGCGAACAGACGAGGAGCUUGCUCCUCUGACGUUAGCGGCGGACGGGUGAGUAACACGUGGAUAACCUACCUAUAAGAUUGGGAUAACUUCGGGAAACCGGAGCUAAUACCGGAUAAUAUAUUGAACCGCAUGGUUCAAUAGUGAAAGACGGUUUUGCUGUCACUUAUAGAUGGAUCCGCGCCGCAUUAGCUAGUUGGUAAGGUAACGGCUUACCAAGGCGACGAUGCGUAGCCGACCUGAGAGGGUGAUCGGCCACACUGGAACUGAGACACGGUCCAGACUCCUACGGGAGGCAGCAGUAGGGAAUCUUCCGCAAUGGGCGAAAGCCUGACGGAGCAACGCCGCGUGAGUGAUGAAGGUCUUCGGAUCGUAAAACUCUGUUAUUAGGGAAGAACAAAUGUGUAAGUAACUAUGCACGUCUUGACGGUACCUAAUCAGAAAGCCAAGGCUAACUACGAG